rnacentral:lncRNA from 1 species
AAGAUAUAAAAAAAAAUUAACAAUGCAUAGCAUGUAUCAACCCUGCUCUGAUAAUAGUUAAAAGGGAAAGUAUCUGAUCUGAUCAGAUCGCCAGGGUACAUCUAAAAGAUUUCUUAUUCUAUCAAUAGUAUAACUCUUUAUGUUUACCUAAUAUGCAACAGAAUAAGGAUCAAAUCCACAAAGAUAACUUGAAUCCGAUGCCACAUG